rnacentral:rRNA from 1 species
UACGUAGGGGGCAAGCGUUGUCCGGAAUUAUUGGGCGUAAAGCGCGCGCAGGCGGCUUUGUAAGUCUGGUGUUUAAACCUAGGGCUCAACCCUGGGUCGCAUUGGAAACUGCAAGGCUUGAGUGCAGAAGAGGAGAGUGGAAUUCCACGUGUAGCGGUGAAAUGCGUAGAGAUGUGGAGGAACACCAGUGGCGAAGGCGACUCUCUGGGCUGUAACUGACGCUGAGGCGCGAAAGCGUGGGGAGCGAACAGG